rnacentral:rRNA from 1 species
AUUGAACGCUGGCGGCAGGCUUAACACAUGCAAGUCGAGCGGGGGAAGGUAGCUUGCUACUGGACCUAGCGGCGGACGGGUGAGUAAUGCUUAGGAAUCUGCCUAUUAGUGGGGGACAACAUCUCGAAAGGGGUGCUAAUACCGCAUACGUCCUACGGGAGAAAGCAGGGGAUAUUCGGACCUUGCGCCAAUAGAUGCGCCUAGGUCGGAUUAGCUAGUUGGUGGGGGAAAGGCCUACCAAGGCGACGAUCUGUAACGGGUGUGAGAGGAUGAUCCGCCACACUGGGACUGAGACACGGCCCAGACUCCGACGGGAGGCAGCAGUAGGGAAUAUUAGACAAUGGGGGGAACCCUGAUCCAGCCAUGCCGCGUGUGUGAAGAAGGCCUUAUGGUUGUAAAGCACUUUAAGCGAGGAGGAGGCUACUUUAGUUAAUACCUAGAGAUAGUGGACGUUACUCGCAGAAUAAGCACCGGCUAACUCUGUGCCAGCCGCCGCAGUAA